UUCUGUUCUUGCAGAGUCCACAGAGUUCGUUGUAUUGUGUGUUUUUUCUUUCGUUUUUCUUCGUUCCUCGCCUUAGUAUUGACCAUGUCACGACAUCAGAAGGAACGCUCACUGAUUUCAUCGAGGAAUCGCAUGCAUACACAUCAGGAAAGAUCCCGUGAGCGUCAGCGGAUUGUGUCCGCGAUCCUAACCUCUCUCGAGGUUCGCCCGGUAUUUCUCACAUACAGAUUGCAUUACCUAUUAUUAAUUAAUGUUUGUUCUUUUCUCAUACUGUGUCCAUUGUCGCAAUAUUAUAUCGAAUGUCGAUAUUUAUCUGCUGAUUUUGGGUGAGCAUUUACGUCUUUUUUACUGACUAUCUACCGCUUCCUGUUACCGGUAUAUAUACACAUGUAUGAUUAGUGUAGCAGUGAUUAGUGCAGCAUAUGGCGCGUAAGGUGCGCACGAGGAUCACCAAGCAGACUUAUAGUCUCCGCGUCGUUAUACGCGAGCGCUUUCUAACCUCGCAGAACUUCGCGGGAUCUUCGCGGGAUUUUCCUGUUCUACGCCUUGUGGCCGCUUGGUGCAAGCCGUGAGCAAAAUUUUUCGCUUACGCAGUGUCGUAACUCCCCGACAUCCAGCGAGGUGUCGAAGGAUAUUCAAAGACCGGCGAGUCUUGUCCCGCAUACGGACUUUACGACACUCUCGGACGGGCCCGGCGAGGUAUCCGUACCGUUGACUCUCUGAACGGAACGUAGACGAGCAGCCGGCCCUUGCUGGCCGAGGCGGCGACCUAGGUAUGUCUCCUUGCCAUAAGGAGAUCAUAACCGACUGCUCACUUCUACUGUGUUCCGCUUCUCUCUCCCUUUUUUUUCCUUCCCUUUUCAGUGACUGCCUCCCCGUUAGCGUUGGAGGACCUCACACUGUUACCGUUCUCGACCCUGUGGCCAGGGCGACGAUCGGGCAUGGCGGACCUGCGGAGUUUCAGGUCCAGGUCGGCUUCUCUCCAUGAGAAUAGCCUGCAUCACCGUUACAGCAUCGGGAUUGUAUAUCUUCUGGGAUGCUCUCGCAAUCGUGGUAUAUUCCAGUCUUAGGGAAGGAUUGAGGACUAACCUCUUCGGUGAGCGUGGCUUCUUUUAGCAGUGCACCGAAACCAGGCCGGAAAAGAUAUGGUAGAUUUAAUCAGCUCUUCUAUGGCGACUGCUGGCUCUCGUCCAAUGACAACCGCGGUUCAUUCCGUCCGUGUGACUUUGAACUGUUGGGACAGUGACCUUACGGGGCUCUCGAAGGUCGGAUCUCCGUCUCCAGAUGUCAGUAGACGGAGAAAGCACUAUCAGCAAAAUGGAAGUAUCCACUCGUUGGCGGAAUACCUUGUUUCGUCUUUCUCAGACGACGAGGGUUGUUUCAGCACACCCUGUCUGACAGCCUCUACCACCGGCUCCCUUUUUUGACAACGGUCUUGCUCUUCGUGUUGACCCGCCGCCAAGCGCGUUCAGCAGUAAAGCGAGUGACGGGCAAUCGGCUGGCCAAGCCGAAUCAGAUGUUUUCUGUUCCGCCAAGCAUCCCCUUUAGCUUCUUCGACUUCACGGGUGAAAUGAUCUUCAGGUGACUCCAGUGGAUCCACUUUUUCAAUCGCAAGCGGCUAUCGCUAAUGGCUUGCAGAAACGGUUCGAGCGGCACCAUCUAUUAUGCAGUGUCUCCGAAGGUGGCGAGUAACAGCCUUACCUGCAGGUUCGUCCACCAGCUUGUAUCGCCCGACACGACUCGAACUUUCUCUCCGUGCAGUGUUACGAUGGCAGGGACACAACAAACAGCCCCUCCGCGUAAUGUAUCCUUGCAUCCCCAAUCGAGGAAGGAUUUUUUCAUGGUGGGCCGCACCAGAAGGUCGGCUUCCUGCUCCUGAGUUCGCACCCGACACUACACCCGGCAGAGUCAACGGAUUGUUUGACCGUCUGCACGAAUCGAGAGCGAGAGAUAACAUCUGCUCUCAGCUAUUCGGCUUACCGUCUAUACGAGUUCCUUCUUCCGCUGUUCGAUUCUUAUCUGUCGGAAUGGUCUCUGUCCGCGCGGAGAGCCGCUCACUGCAUUGCGGAUAUUUAGCGGUUAUGAGCCUUCGCUGAUACUUAUCACAUUUGGCCUGUGAGCUAUUGUCUUUUUGCGGAGGAAUGCAUUUCUUUUUAAAGUUACGCGAACUGAACGCAUUCCGGUCUCCAUCUUAUAUAUGGAAGAUUGACGUACUAUAGCCUCAGGAUGCUAAAUUGUACGACAUUGUGCAUCUUGAACGCAUCUCAGCUGGUAUCGUUGCACUCCUCUUUUUCUCUGUUAUUAGUAACGAGCUUUAUGGUUUUGUCUCGUGGCCUGUCUACGACACCUUCCACUUUUCCUGCGACCGUCUGCCCCCUGGUUAGGGCAUUGCGACGGAGGAAUUCUCAAUCCAUCGUAUUUUUACACGAUUUUCGGCCUUUAGACGCUCUGGAAGAGGUCUAUCGACGAAAGAUGUCAGCCUUCUUGGAUCUAUUCUUCUUUUUGGGCGCCAAAUGUAGCUUGGGUUGCAGCUACGAUUCUAUCUACCGAUCUGCCAAUGAUACUGAAUGUGUCAUGAGAUCCUCGGUGCUCUAUCCGAGAUUUCACACACAUAAUUGCUUGCUUCUAGCGAUUUACCCUAUUCCGUUUAUGCGGCUCUAUAUGACCUGCUUCAUUUCAAGACAGCCGAGAGGCAGAAGCUUUUGGUCCUGGAGACUCAUUCUCAAACCUAUGGCGUGUGGAUGUCACCCUCCGGAUAUCUGAGUUCAGAUUACAAUCGGAUUGGCGUUUUCUCUAACGUUAUUUAGUGCGCUGCAGCUCGCUCUGGCUCCGAGGGUUCUCUGUUCUUUGAUGUACCUUUAACGAGCUGGCGAGCUCCAUAGAAGGUAACACCCCAUGUGGAUGGGUUUGGUGCUUCGGAACGGCUGUUCCUAGCACUUUUUACGUUCACGCUCUUGUGCUAAUAGUGUGCUAUGCUUUAGCGUAUUUUGCCGCAGAUUUUCAAGUCUGCAAUAUCACCGGAGAUAGACGGAGAUGGCGCGCACAGCGCAAUACUUACUUUUCUCGUUUUUUAUAUUGCCUUCCUCGGCACUGUCAUUACAGUCGCCGCAUCAAGAGUUCCAGUCAUCGAUGCUGAGUUACUACUGCCGACUCGGGCGUCCAAUCGGGCUGAGACAGCAUUUAGUCUUCUCGUCGCAGAGUUGGUUGCAUUAAUAGCAACCGUGAAACGUUGAGGCUUCCUGGUUCUUCGCCCCUGAUUUAGAAGCGAUUGCUGUGUUUAUCAUAUCUCGAUAGUAUGAUCUGCCUCAAUUACUGGGAACUCCAUAGGACGUUCACCUUCACAGUGUGAAAGCAGAUUCGUUUACGCGAUAUAUUUGCCGAUUCUUGCACUGUACUCUGCUAUUGUAUACUACUUAUACUAUAUCUCUUGUUACGUCCCGACAAGUCUCCUUUUUCUUCCGGAUUCCUUUUUUUUCAUUUAACCGUCAUAUGCCGAUAUCACUGCCUUCAGACAAACUUUCUCUUUUAUGAUCCAUCCCAAAAUUCCUUUCCUAACAACCUCUCAAAGGACCAAGGUUGCACGCUUAGUCAUCUUCCCCGACAUAGCGCCUAACUUACACUUACUUAGACUUACACACGAGAUAUAUUUUUAUAGCAUUUUAAUUAUAAGUAAAUAUUAAGCAGGUCGCGCGUCCUGGAGGCGAAGCGUGACCAUAUCUCUUGAAUUGUUUUCUCAUAUAUCGAUAUAGUCACUCUUCAAGGCUCGGUUUAAAACGAUAUGUCUAUUGCAUAAUGUUAACGCACAGAUUAACGAUACCAAUAUUUGUAUUCCCGUUGUUUAAAAACAAGAUAAAAUCAUAUAUAAAAUACCAUAAGUAUAUAUACGUAUAAGAAUCGUUAGAACUUUCGCGAAGAUUCUGUAGGCCAAGAGCGGGGAUUUGCGCGGGAUCCUCCCUCUUUGUCUAUGCCUGUUGCAGCCGUUUUCGAGAUCUCCCAUUGGCUAAAGAAAAAUUCUGUUGCUCACGAUUUUUGGUAUAAAAGGAACCAACCAAGGUUCCUGGCUCUCUUCUCUUCCUGGUUCUCCACCGGCUCUCUUCACUCAUAUCGCGGUUAGAAAGAAGUACAGCAACGAGAUCUCCAAAACAGCGUCAACGCGAUCACAACUCAAGGUUCAUAUUUACUUCUCCCUCACUCUAAAUUCAUUCAACAUUGUCGAUUAAUCAACUCGAAUAAAUCCAAUAUCUUAGUAAUUAACUAUCCAAUUAGUAAUUGAAUCUCCGACUCUCACAUUCCUUUUCCGACCAUUUAAAUUAUCCUUAAAUCGCAAAACGCACACGACUUGAGUCCCUGGGGUAAAUUGCUUAAAUGCAUUGAUUCCAAAAACUAAAAUAUUAACGUUACAUCCCGUAACACUCUACUUCGAUACAGUCUUUCUCGGUUGCCACACGCCCAAUAAUCUCAUUCUAUCUGUAUCUGCGCCCGUUGGCCAAGUUGGCGUCUAUAUUUUCUUCUGUCUGUACCGCUGUUACUAUGACACUAGUCCUUCUUCUAGCGCCAGGAUCCGAUCAAUAUGCUACUCUCUCACAGUCGUUAUAUCUCUGUUUAUUGUUCGCUAUGGGUCAAGCCGUCAUUCGGAUGCCGGACAUUCGGAUAAUAUCAGCCGCCAGUUGCGCGCAACUGCUAUCUAUUUUUCCCGGUUUUUUCCGUCGUCUGGAUCUGUGUAUUGUUCCUUUUGCUUGCGCUAUAUCUCGACUCCGCCAGGAAUCUUCAUACGGUCGAUUAUAUUUCUUUACUCUAUCCUGCGUGAUAACAACUUAUUAUUAUAAGACUAUCAUCACGAGCCUUUUGGAUUUUGUUUUAUCAAGAAAUCUUUAUGUUUCUUACUCCGAAAUUUAUGCCUCGUCAUGAGGGCUAAUUGUCUUGGUUCUUGUAGUUAUUUCCGUCUCCCGUCUUUUCGUAAGACAUACGGUUGGUUCCGACGUGUGGCACUUAUCGGCCCUCCUGUAUAACCCGUUCGCUCGUAAGCGGAAUAUCACUCAAUUCGCGGUACUUCCUUGUCGUCCUGACCCAACGAUGUCGCUCCGGCGGCACGAAAACGAGCGUGAGCAAUGUUUUCGGUUUGUUUCCUUUUUCGUUACCGCAGCUACUUUGCUUGCAGAUUGAUCGUUCUUCUUAUAAUACUAUUUUUAUACCAGUCUCAGGAGUCUCCUAUCGUAGACUGGUUAUGACCCUUAUUUGUCUGUUGCUGUUCUAAUUCCUUUGGUUGGUUUUUUGCGCCCACAGGUGCGCCCAGUUCCUUUCUUUGGAGGAUGUACAGGCUUUAUAAUGUACCUGCUUCCUUGGAUUUUGUACCAAGCGUUAUGAUAAUUUGGUACUUCUCGGCAAAGCGCGGUUUGAACAUCUACACAGUUCUUUAUCCAUCCGGACGAGACACCACGGCAUAAUUGUACAAUUAAACGAACUUACCAAGUGAAGUUCGAUUGUAAUUAUGCCUGGUGUUUCGUCUGGAUGAACUUUCCCCACCCAAAGCCUUUGGCUUCUUUCCUCCCUUUAUAUUAGGCGAUUUGCCUCGCAACUUUGAAAUAAUGAGGUUACGGGCGCGCGCAGCGCGGCGGGGCAAAAUGGGCCCCGUUUUUCUAUUUUAUUUUUUAUUUUUAAAACUCUGUUGGAUAUGCAGUCAGAGAAGCAUGACUACACAGUUCUUUAUCCAUCCGGACGAGACACCAGGCAUAAUUACAAUCGAACUUCAUUUGGUAAGUUCGUUUAAUUGUACAAUUAUUUUCAAUUAUAUUAUAAAGAGUAACACGCCUUUUUUAGAAUAAGAUUAUAUUAAAUAUUAUUGUAAAUAAUUUACAAUACAAUAACGGUUAAAAUGCCUACUUACUGCCAAAGAAAGACUGAUAGAAUACAUGAAGACAAUACGUGACGUGCAGAGAAAUGCGUCCGCAAUCGGCUGAGAUCAGCAAAUAAGUGAGACCAAAUUGAAAACAAGCCUACAACUUAGUCAAAACAAGAUCAUACAUAUCCGAAAGAUCCAUAUUUACUACGAAAUCCACGAUACGCCUCGCAAUAAGUUUUGCCUCUACUGUAAAAGCACUCAAUAAGAAAUACUUCUUCUUCGAUGCUUAGAGCAUUCAUCGUGACUCGUAAUUUGGCUUGUACAACGACUCAAAUAAAAUUGACGAAUCUCAAGUACCAGACUCUAAUGAGUAAAAUGAUCGCCGAAGUCAAGGAAGUGAAAUAUAAGCAGUUACUUUCAACACAAUCCUAAUGGUCACCCUGUAAAAUUUUUCUAAUUUCCAUACUCAUAUUUCAGAAUGUAUUGAUGUAUCUAUUUAUGUCAACAAUAAUAUUUUAAUGUCGUUGUUACGUGUAGAAUUAAGAUUAAUUAUUUGACAACGUUAAAAUAUCAAAUAUCCGAUAUUAUAUGUCAAUCAUUUGAAUAUUUGAACCUUUCAAACCUUGACAAUUUUAAAUUCAACUUUAUUCAAAAAUGAAGUUUUAUACGCAUUCUACGCGCAGCAAAUAUUUUGAAGCCGACAGCUUUUCGAUAUUUUGCUACUCGUGAUAAAUGUAAACCGCAUAACGUUUUUGCGAACUAUAUCGUUUGUAUAUGUACAACUUGUACCAAAGUCAGCAAAUUUACGAGAAAUUUACUUACUUUUGUGGUCUGUAUCCUGGUGCGAAUGAAUAAUUCCCUUGGAACUGUUUUGAAACUUCAUUCAAAGCAAAGGCGUCAAUAGUAAAGCUGCCCUUGAUAAAUGAUCUGCCUGCUAUUUUUCUCAUGCUCGUCUGGAAGACACUCCCAGGGAUUUUUAUUAAACAAUAUCAUUACUUAAGUUAUAAUAUUUGUUAACUUUCAAAGAAAACCCUGUGUUAUAUAUUCAAUAUUUAGAAUUAAAAAAUUGUAAUCUGUAAUAUUACUAUAAUAAAAUAAUUUUUAUACAAAACAUUUAUAUUAUUACGAUUAUUUAUAUUAUUUUAUAAAUUGUAAAUAAAAUAUAAAAUAUCUCUAAAGAAGUGAGAAAUACUUAAAGUACUGUAUUUCAUUUUAUCUAUUAUAAUUAGAAUUAAAAGUUUACAAUCUGUAUUGUUAUAAAAAAAUAAUUUUUAUCAUCAAAUCAUUUUAUCUAACAUAUUAGAAAAUGUUUACUUAAAAGUACACAGUAACAUCUGUUUCUUCAAUAUCUUUUUGUUAUAGAUUUUUCUCCUUUAUAGCGUACAAGAAAAAAUAAUAAUCUCUUUUUUGGGCACGAUAAUGUAAUAAUCAAAUAAGCUACAUGAAUAAUAUAAUAAUCGGCGUACCUGAUGCACCGGUUGAGCAGCAAUGUAACAGAGCACCGAUUCCAAGUAAAACUAUCAGGAACGACAGUUUUAGCUGCAAAAUCCAACAAACUCGAAGCUGCUCUCGACACGAUUCGUACUUGCUAUCAACACGACAGAGAUUUUUCAGAGGAAUGAGAUCGCUUGCGACUCUUGCUUCGAUUUCUUUCAUAAAACCACACAACUUUUAGUCACGAAUCUCGCCUUCGUUGUAGAACGCGGUCGAUGUGUCCGUUACUCGUAACUGGUCGAUGAUCAUCCUUCUCUUCCUAUGUGCCGGCAAAUAGAGAGAAAAAAAAGAAAAAAUGCCGUCGCGGAUGCUGAUCUGGGAUUCAUGAAACAAUUGCAAAUUUCACAAAUAAUAUAUUUAUAAAUUUUGAAAAAAAGAUCGUACCACAAAAAGAAACUUUAUCUUGAGUAAAGAGGGGAAUUCAUUCGUUCUCUCAUUAGUCUAGAUAGAUAUUUUAAUUUAAGUAUUUCUAACUACGCAUUUUUUUAUAUUAAUAUUAUAAAAUUUUAUUAAGGAUAAGUCUCUGUAAAGAUUGACUUAUAUUCUUUCUUCACUUCGCAAUAACAUUUUUUUACUUUCUGUUAUUUUGAUUGCCAUGUUGACAUCACGAGAAAACUUGUCAUCCAGAGGAAUCUAAAUUAGAAUCUAAAUUAGAAGGACUGUGCGCGUCAAAUUGAGAAAUGUAGGUCAGAACGAAGCGAUAAUUAGAAAGCCAAGAGAAUCAUUUUCCUACUGAUCUACUUAAAUCGUUUCUACCUAAAUGACGCAGCGUUCGUGAAGUUCUUCAUAUAAAAAAAAUUAGAUAUAUUCACGUUUGAAGCAUUUUAUGAUUUACACGUAGAAUGUAAUUUAUGUCAUCACUGUUGCAUUCUCUAAAUGCAUUUCUACACCGCAGUUUGCGUGCGCAUCACACUGAUUAUUUAAUUAAUAAAAGAAUCUCGGCCUCCGUAAA
rnacentral:lncRNA from 1 species